GGUAGAGCUCAGACAAGUAUGAAUUUUGAAAACUGAGAAUUCCUGCGGUAGAUCCCAACAGGUACUUUUAGAACCUGAGUAGUAGAGCCCAGACAAGUAUGAAUUUUGAAAACUGAGAAUUCCUGCGGUAGAUCCCAACAGGUACUUUUAGAACCUGAGUGGUAGAGCCCAGACAAGUAUGAAUUUUGAAAAAUGAGAAUUCCUGCGGUAGAUCCCAACAGGUAC